AACGCCGCGUGGAGGAUGAAGGUCUUCGGAUUGUAAACUCCUGUUGAUCGGGACGAAAAGCUUCAACCUAAUACGUUGAAGACUGACGGUACCGGUUGAGGAAGCCACGGCUAACUCUGUGCCAGCAGCCGCGGUAAUACAGAGGUGGCAAGCGUUGUUCGGAAUUACUGGGCGUAAAGGGCGCGUAGGCGGCCCUCUAAGUCGGACGUGAAAGCCCCAGGCUUAACCUGGGAACUGCGUCUGAUACUGGGAGGCUUGGAUUCGGGAGAGGGAUGUGGAAUUCCAGGUGUAGCGGUGAAAUGCGUAGAUAUCUGGAGGAACACCGGUGGCGAAGGCGGCAUCCUGGACCGAGAUCGACGCUGAGGCGCGAAAGCUAGGGGAGCAAACGGGAUUAGAUACCCCGGUAGUCCUAGCCCUAAACGAUGAGUGCUUGGUGUGGCGGGUAUCGAUCCCUGCCGUGCCGAAGCUAACGCAUUAAGCACUCCGCCUGGGGAGUACGGUCGCAAGGCUG
rnacentral:rRNA from 1 species